rnacentral:rRNA from 1 species
AGUAAAAGUCGUAACAAGGUUUCCGUAGGUGAACCUGCGGAAGGAUCAUUACCGUUGGAGCUUGCUCCAUCUGGGAUAGAACCCUUGAUUUUGAGUACCUUUUCGUUUCCUCGGCGGGUCCGCCCGCCGGUGGACAACCAAAACUCUUUGUAAUAGCAGUAUCUUCUGAAAAAAACAAAUAGUCAAAACUUUCAACAACGGAUCUCUUGGUUCUGGCAUCGAUGAAGAACGCAGCGAAAUGCGAUAAGUAGUGUGAAUUGCAGAAUUCAGUGAAUCAUCGAAUCUUUGAACGCACAUUGCGCCCUUCGGUAUUCCGUUGGGCAUGCCUGUUCGAGCGUCAUUUUAACCUUCAAGCAUAGCUUGGUGUUGGGUGCUUGUCCCCCCUAGUGGCGGACUCACCUCAAAUGCAUUGGCGGCCGGCAUGUUGGCUUCGAGCGCAGUACAACGCGCCUGGUGUCUAGACGUGCUGGUCCUCCACAAGGCCUUCUUUAAUCUUGACCUCGGAUCAGGUAGGGAUACCCGCUGAACUUAAGCAU